CUCUUUGCUGUUCAUUGGGGGAACUUCUAAAAAGUGCAAAGUGAAUUUACAGCAGAAUUAACCAAUGGUGGACCAGCUUGAACAAAUCUAUUUUCUUCUUUUUGAAAGACAGGGAGAAUAAUUUGAGUUAUUCCCCUCUAAGGUUUCCAGAAGGCUGAGCAGAAGCUCGAUCCCUUAAAAGGUGUUAACUUACCUGAAUACAUGGCCAUCUUGAGGCUAACUGGCUGCAUUAUAUACCAGAUGUUCCUGCUUUGAUAUCAGAUCACCCCUGUGCUUUGCUGAUGACACUGCUAUCCCUCGGGAGCCAGUUCUGAACAAGGGACCACGUUCCACAUUCCAUACUGCUGGGCAUGUUUUCAGUCUCUUCCCUUCUUGGCACGGAAAGGAAAGAGGUUAAAAUGUGCUGUGUGUGAAGUAAGAGAAAGCUGUCCCGAGAAUCAAGUAGCUGCCCGGGCUGGGUUGCUGGCGCAGAAGAACCUAACAUUUGAUUGAAUCUGCAAUCAAGUGAGGUGUCUUCAGAAGAAAGCCAUGAAACCAAGCUCAGAGUGUACUUGCCAAAAAUAUCUCCUCCUGGGCCUUCUCUUCUCAAGUACACUCUAUGUUCAGACAUCUGGGACCUCAGUUAUUUGCCUGGACAAUUAAGAGGUCUAGGGUGGGGAAAUAGAGCUAUUAAUCUGUGUUUUUUUUGAGAGAUUUGGUUUGGGUUUUCAAUCUACUCUUAGAUGAUGGAAAUAUGUCUUAAACAAACAAGCAAACAGCACUUUCUGGGGACAGGAGAGAUGGUGUUAAGCACUCUCAGGGUGUGAGUUCAAUCUCCAGCUUCUAUGCUGGUGCUGGUCCUGGUGGUGUGUCUGUAGAAUCCGACAUGGAGAUACUGGGAGGCAGGAGGUGAGCCUCUGGCAUAUACUGUCUAGCCACCCUACCUCAACCAGUGAGUACCAGGUCUCAGGCCAUCUUGGACUGACAGUUCCAUGUCCUAAAACUACCCUGUCAGAUUCUGUCUGAAAAUGACCCUAUGGAAGGCAGUUCUCGGAAAUGCACACCCUGGGGAUGGACCAAGAGAUAUGUUAGCACCACAGAAACAAAAUGGUGAAAGCCAGAAACUGAGGGACAGAAUUUCUGAAACACGUGUCCGUUAGGUUGUUGGCCAUGCUUGUCUUACCCAGGAAGCCAUUUUGCAUGUUCUGAGGUCUAUUGCCACCAUAGGUGUGGUGGCAACAUGUGUCUGCAAAGUGAGUGUGUGUGUGUGUGUGUGUGUGUGUGUGUUGGGUUCUGGGAACUGAACUUGAACAGCUGAGCUAUCUCACCUUGGGGAAGGACCUUCUGCUCCAGGGCUACAGGCAUAUGUAGAAAAGACUCUGAGUGUGAUAGGGCCACCUCUACCCCAAGUGAGUCUCUUCAAAAUAGUAACACCUUUGGUGAUAGAUCUUAGGAGAGUCCAGGAAAACUCACAAAAGACCAAGGACAAGAAGCCCAAGACCCUAUUUUUCCUAAACAUCUGAACCAUUUUCUAAAUGGCUCCCCUUUCCCUGGGCAGCAGCUUGUUGCUUUGAAACAUUUGGCUCUUUAACAUCCAAUUUGCUCAAGAAUUUUUGGAUGUAAGUUCUCCUGAGUUUCCAGGAGGCUACCUUGUAGUAUAGCCUGUUUCCAAGAAUCUAAAACAAAUUAGAUUAUAAUCAUGCUAGACAUAAAAUAAAAGUGCCUUGUGGGGCCUGCCUGGGCAAGCCCUAAGAUUCUCCAUGGUUGGCCGAGGAGACAAUCUCGCAGUGCUCAGCUGCCACCACCCUGCUUGAGAACAGACACUGGAGUCUGAGCCUCGGGGAGUCUUGCUGUGUUCCUGCUUAGAUAGCUGCCAGCAUCCUCUGUUGCAGGAAUUAGCAUGCAACAGUCACCCACUUUGGGAAAUUUUUUCUUUGCAUACUUGAACUUUAGGAGGCAAAAGUUUUGCUAUUCAUUAUAACCAUCUACCAAGCUAUCUGUGUUCCUCCUCUGGUCUUGAUGCCAUCUUUCCCUGCCUGUCCUUCUGCUCCCCCACAUACACAGUCCCCUCCCAUCUCUGUGUGCAGGAUGUCACAUGCUGGAGAAUGCACCUCAUACUGCGGAUUCACUUCCUGAAUGUCAGCGAUUUGUAGAGGAUUUCAGUGCCUAGCCAUGUGGCACUAAUUUCUGGGCUCAAGGACAACAUGGGCCCCUGGCCUGCUGCUCCAAAGAGGUGCCACUUACUCCCUUGCUCUCUCUCAGCUCUCCCUUACAUUCAAGUCCUGAAAAUAUUUACUCUGUUUGGACCUGACAAAACCCAGUAAAUGGCAACCUUUACAAGGCCCAGGUGCCAGGGCAGAGGGAAGGGAAGAAAGACUCCAACAGCCUGGCUUCUGCUUACACAGGGGGCUGGUUUCUGAGAGGGGACACAGAGACAGUAGAGUCUCCGAUUUCUUCAGCCUCUGAAGCCAGGACUUUAGAACCAAAUCAAAGUGUGGCUGGCCAUCCACUUUCAUUGAUUAACCUUUUUGUGUUUAGGAAAAGUGUGUAAGGCCUUUUUGAUCACGUCUCAGUUUUCCCUAGAAAUUUAACCGCUCAUUCAUGGAAGAGCGAUUUGUUUAGCCCAUUUCACCACUUCCUAAGCUUUGCUCUAGGUGCUGCAGAAUCUCUAGAAAAUGAACAAAUAAUUUCAGGUGGAGAAAGGGAGAGGAUUGAAAUAGCAUUGGGGGCAUAUUGAGGAUGACCAUCAAGCCUUGGUACCCAGGGUGAUGGGAACAGGUGUUUCUGGAGUAUUUGUUGUAUUAGUUUCAACUUACUGCUGCAAAAAAUAACAGAGACAGUUGACUUAUAAAGAAAAAGGUCUAUUCAGCUUACAGUUUCAGAUCAUACUGUCUCAGUGCUUAGGCCCUCUGGCUAGGAAGUCCUAGGGUGCCCUCAUGUAGAGUAGGGUUUCAGGAUUGUUGUCCACUGGCUGCUCCUGUUCACCCCAGAAAUUGUUAUAUGAUUCCUGGAAUACAGACAUACAAACAAAACAAAACAUUUACUCUUAAUAAACCAAAAAUCAAUCUAUUUUUUAAAAAAUUCUUUGGUGUGCAAAUAAUUUUAUCAGUGAUAAAAGGUGAGAACAACUUUACUUUUGUUAUUUUACUUGUUAUUUUACAAGAACUCAGUUAAGAUUAACUGAAUUCUUGACACCCCAGGACACAGAACACCACUGUCAAGAUUUUUCAAAUUUGAUACCAAUUUUUGUUUUAUAGUUAUCAAUAUAGAGAAUUUUGCUUCACAUAAGGGAUGUUUAAGACUUUUUCAGAAGUUGUUGAGAAUUUCCAAUCCCUCACCAAAAUUUAUUAUA